rnacentral:rRNA from 1 species
AGUGAACGCUGGCGGUAGGCCUAACACAUGCAAGUCGAACGGCAGCACAGUAAGAGCUUGCUCUUACGGGUGGCGAGUGGCGGACGGGUGAGGAAUACAUCGGAAUCUACUUUUUCGUGGGGGAUAACGUAGGGAAACUUACGCUAAUACCGCAUACGACCUACGGGUGAAAGCAGGGGAUCUUCGGACCUUGCGCGAUUGAAUGAGCCGAUGUCGGAUUAGCUAGUUGGCGGGGUAAAGGCCCACCAAGGCGACGAUCCGUAGCUGGUCUGAGAGGAUGAUCAGGCACACUUGAACUGAGACACGGGCCAGACUCCUAAGGGAAGCAGCAGUGGGGAAAAUUUGACAAUGGGCGCAAGCCUGAUCCAGCCAUACCGCGUGGGUGAAGAAGGCCUUCGGGUUGUAAAGCCCUUUUGUUGGGAAAGAAAAGCAGCAGGUUAAUACCCCGCUGUUCUGACGGUACCCAAAGAAUAAGCACCGGCUAACUUCGUG